UAUGGUAUAACUUAGUGGCAGACGGGUGAGUAAUGUAUAGGAAUCUACCUAGUAGUACGGAAUAAUURUUGGAAACGGCAACUAAUACCGUAUACGCCCUACGGGGGAAAGAUUUAUCGCUAUUAGAUGAGCCUAUAUUAGAUUAGCUAGUUGGUAAGGUAAUGGCUUACCAAGGCAAUGAUCUAUAGCUGAUCUGAGAGGAUGAUCAGCCACACUGGAACUGAGAUACGGUCCAGACUCCUACGGGAGGCAGCAGUGGGGAAUAUUGGACAAUGGGCGAAAGCCUGAUCCAGCCAUGCCGCAUGAGUGAAGAAGGCCUUUGGGUUGUAAAGCUCUUUCGGUGAGGAAGAUAAUGACGGUACUCACAGAAGAAGUCCUGGCUAACUCCGUGCCAGCAGCCGCGGUAAUACGGAGAGGGCUAGCGUUAUUCGGAAUUAUUGGGCGUAAAGAGCGCGUAGGCUGGUUAGUAAGUUAAAAGUGAAAUCCCAAAGCUCAACUUUGGAAUUGCUUUUAAAACUGCUAACCUAGAGAUUGAAAGAGGAUAGAGGAAUUCCUAGUGUAGAGGUGAAAUUCGUAAAUAUUAGGAGGAACACCAGUGGCGAAGGCGUCUAUCUGGUUCAAAUCUGACGCUGAGGCGCGAAGGCGUGGGGAGCAAACAGGAUUAGAUACCCUGGUAGUCCACGCUGUAAACGAUGAAUGUUAAAUAUGGGAAGUUUACUUUCUGUAUUACAGCUAACGCGUUAAACAUUCCGCCUGGGGACUACGGUCGCAAGAUUAAAACUCAAAGGAAUUGACGGGGACCCGCACAAGCGGUGGAGCAUGUGGUUUAAUUCGAUGCAACGCGAAAAACCUUACCACUCCUUGACAUGAAAAU
rnacentral:rRNA from 1 species